GAGUUUGAUCAUGGCUCAGAACGUACGCUGGCGGCACGCCUAACACAUGCAAGUCGAACGAAGUAGCAAUACUUAGUGGCAGACGGGUGAGUAACAUGUAGGUAUCUGCCCUUUGGCCUGGAAUAACACGAGGAAACUUGUGCUAAUACCGGAUAAGUCUUUACGGAGAAAGCUUUAUGCACCAUUGGAUGAGCCUGCACUUGAUUAGUUUGUUGGUGGGGUAAUGGCCUACCAAGACUGUGAUCAAUAGCUGAUUUGAGAGGAUGAUCAGCCACAUUGGGACUGAGACACGGCCCAAACUCCUACGGGAGGCAGCAGUGGGGAAUCUUGCACAAUGGAGGAAACUCUGAUGCAGCGAUGCCGCGUGAGUGAAGAAGGCCUUUGGGUUGUAAAGCUCUUUCGUCGGGGAAGAAAAUGACUGUACCCGAAUAAGAAGGUCCGGCUAACUUCGUGCCAGCAGCCGCGGUAAUACGAAGGGAUCUAGCGUAGUUCGGAAUUACUGGGCUUAAAGAGUUCGUAGGUGGUUGAAAAAGUUAGUGGUGAAAUCCCAGAGCUUAACUCUGGAACUGCCAUUAAAACUUUUCAGCUAGAGUAUGAUAGAGGAAAGCAGAAUUUCUAGUGUAGAGGUGAAAUUCGUAGAUAUUAGAAAGAAUACCAAUUGCGAAGGCAGCUUUCUGGAUCAUUACUGACACUGAGGAACGAAAGCAUGGGUAGCGAAGAGGAUUAGAUACCCUCGUAGUCCAUGCCGUAAACGAUGUGUGUUAGACGUUGGAAAUUAUUUUCAGUGUCGCAGGGAAACCGAUAAACACACCGCCUGGGGAGUACGACCGCAAGGUUAAAACUCAAAUGAAUUGACGGGGACCCGCACAAGUAGUGGAGCAUGUGGUUUAAUUCGAAGAUACGCGCAGAACCUUACCAACACUUGACAUGUUCGUCGCGACUCUAAGAGAUUAGAGUUUUCGGUUCGGCCGGACGAAACACAGGUGCUGCAUGGCUGUCGUCAGCUCGUGUCGUGAGAUGUUGGGUUAAGUCCCGCAACGAGCGCAACCCUCACUUUUAGUUGCCAUCAUUAAGUUGGGCACUCUGAAAGAACUGCCAGUGAUAUGCUGGAGGAAGGUGGGGAUGACGUCAAGUCCUCAUGGCCCUUACGUGUUGGGCUACACACGUGCUACAAUGGUAUCUACAACAGGAAGCAAGACUGCGAAGUUAAGCAAAUCCCUAAAAGAUACCUCAGUUCGGAUUGCACUCUGCAACUCGAGUGCAUGAAGCUGGAAUUACUAGUAAUCGUGGAUCAGCGUGCCACGGUGAAUGCGUUCCCGGGUCUUGUACACACCGCCCGUCACACCAUGGGAGUUGGUUCUACCUUAAGGCAAGGUUUCAAACCCUUGACCACGGUAUAGUCAGCGACUGGGGUGAAGUCGUAACAAGGUAACC
rnacentral:rRNA from 1 species